rnacentral:rRNA from 1 species
CCUACGGGUGGCAGCAGUGGGGAAUAUUGCACAAUGGGGGAAACCCUGAUGCAGCGACGCCGCGUGAGUGAAGAAGUAUUUCGGUAUGUAAAGCUCUAUCAGCAGGGAAGAAAAUGAAGGUACGUGUUUAAGAAGCACAGGCUAACUACGUGACAGCAGCCGCGGUAAUAAGUAGGGGGCAAGCGUUAUACGGAGUUACUGGGUGUAAAGGGCGCGUAGACGGCAGCACAAGUCUGGAGUGAAAUGCCGGGGCUUAACCCCGGAAGUGCUUUGGAAACUGUGCAGCUAGAGUGAAGGAGAGGUAAGUGGAAUUCCUAGUGUAGCGGUGAAAUGCGUAGAUAUUAUGAGGAACACCAGUGGCGAAGGCGGCUUACUGGACUGUAACUGACGUUGAGGCUCGAAAGCGUGGGGAGCAAACAGGAUUAGAUACCCCUGUAGUC